AAUUGAUCAGUUCACUUCGUCAUGGGCAGGUACAAUUUCUUAAUCUGAUGGGUUUGCUAUUUGGGGAUGCUACUUGGUUGGUAAAAAGAUUUGGAUUACUUCGAUUCUGCUUCAGAUGGAUAAGUCAUGGAUGCUUGAGGAUAGAAGAUCACGGGCGUAUGAACUAGGGGUUGAAGCAUUCUUAAAGUUUGCAGUAGAAAAUGCUAGAAAUGAAAAUAGAAUUCCUUGUCCUUGUUGGGAGUGUGGAAAUACAAAAGACUUUGGCAUUGGAAUUAUCAAAGGUCAUUUGUUUAGCUAUGGUAUUACACCAAACUAUCAGAAUUGGAUAUGGCACGGAUAACCUUCCAAGUCAGCUUCAAACUUGGACUCUCGUGCUGAUAGUACACAUAAACGUGGACCUGGUAAUACACAUAAACCUGAAGCUGAUAGUGUAGAUGAACAUGAACCUGUGAUUGACUCUGACUCGGUGCAUAUGGAUGAUAAUAUGGCACGGAGAGCCUUCCAAGUCAGCUUCAAACUUGAAGAUAUUCAAGGUGUACUAGCUAAGUGGGAAGGAACUAUGAAGACCACAUACCUUCAAGAAGAAAUCGAUGAAGUUCGUGAUGAGUGGGCAUAAUUCGUUAGCGAGA